ACUAAAUAAAUUAUGUAGCAUAAAUGCUUCCAACAAAAUGUUUACUUAUAUGGAAUCACUAGAAGAAAGAUUUUAGCAAUUUUUGCUUCUAUUCUAUUUCAGUAGCAUAGUUUACAUGCCUAAACAUAUUUUUAACCUAUCACAUGGUCUGAACUUGGGAAGGGUAUGUAGGCUCUUCAUUUAAAACCUUUUCUAACACUGUUGUAUUUUUCAGGGAUCAAAACAGCAGCAGUCAUCAGCAGUUUAACAGGUUUCUGCAGAAAUUCUUGUACAAACUAGUGACAUUUUCUGCAUCUUCCAUACAUCAGAAGGAAAUUGAAGCCUGGAGGAAAAAAGCAUACAUGUGCAAAUACCACCAUUAUUUCUGGCCUGUCACAUUUAUUUGCUCUCUCUCUCUCUGCUGUUUUGUAAGACUGCCUACUGGAAACAAAUUCUUGAAGCAGGAAGCAUGAAGUGAAGACCCAUGGGCCCAGAAAGAGGACUGCAUCCUAGUCUGCACCCAAAGCACUGUGGGCAGCAGGAUAAGGGAGGGGAUUUUGUCCCUUUACUCCCCUCUGGUGAACGCCCACCUGCAGUGCUGCAUCCAGCUCUUGGGUCCCCAGCACAAAGGAGGACAUUGACCUGUUGGAGAGAGCCCACAGGAGGGCCACCAAGAUGGUUAGAGGCAUGGACAAUAUCUCCUGUGAGGAAAGGCUGAGAGAACUGGGACUGUGCAACCUGGAAAAGAGAAGGCUUCAGAAUGACAUGAGUGUGGGUUUCCAUUACCUGAAGGUAGCCGACAAGAAAGAUGAAGGGAUAAAAUUUACAAGAGCAUGUAGUGACAGGACAAGGGGUAUGGCUUUAAACAACCAGUAUUUUUAGAUACUAGGAAGAAAUUCUUUACCAUGAAGGCAGUGAGUCAAUGGAAUGGGUUGCUCAGUGAAGUUGUGGAUGCCUCAUCCCUGGAAGUGUUUAAGGCCAAGUUGGAUGGGACUCUGAGCAACCUGGUCUAGUGGGAGAUGUGUCUGCCUAUAGCAAGGGUUUGAAACUAGAUGAUCUUUAAGCUCCUUUCCAACCCAAAUGAUUCUAUGGUUCUAUUAUUCGGUGAUUCUUUGUUGAGUGAAGCAUCUCAAGAGCACAACAAAAUCUUUGUUAAAAGCCUGUCACCUGAGAAUCACGUUUGCUGUGCAAUUCUCUGCAUUAUAAUGAAACUUCGGUAGAUGCAUUCAUGCAAAUAGCAUGCAAAAAGGCAAAGUUUCACCCUUAAUGCGACACAGUUUCAACACCACUAAAACUGGGUUAUAGAAAUAUUUUUCAUUAUUUGAAGACAAACAUGACUGAAGGGCACAGUAAAAUUCAAUCUCAGGUUUUGUCUGUUAGCAGCAGAAGUAUAUGUAGGAAGUACCUUUAGAUUUUUAAUGCACUGUGAAACAGAAAGCAUUAUCUUUCUUCUGUUAGAAAGUUGUUUGCAGAGUAUGAUUUUGUUUGGAGCUAGUGUACAUGAUUCUACAGAAACAGCUCCAUUGUCUAACCAGUUUAGGAAAACGAAUGGGUUUGUUAUAUAUCAGUACAGUUCAAUUUCACAUGUGCUGCAGCUCUACUGUAAUUUUAUUUUGUGUAUAUUUCUCUGAGUUAAAAUCUUCUUAUCAAAUGCUAAGAGAUAACACACAUUUCUUCCUGUUAUAAAAUAAAGACACAAACAUCAAUCACCUAAAAUCAGUGACAUUCACCCAGUAAUAAAUAC